CCCUCGCCUGCACAGUUUGGCACUGGCGGGAGGAAACUUCCAAGCCGCUCUGCUGUUCUGAAAGCCACAGUGAGGAGAAUCUUCACUCUGACCAGCUGGUGACACGAAACACUAUUCUAACUAAGCUUCAGAAAAAAGAAAAUGCAUUGGUGACAUAACUGAGAAGUCCAAGAGGCAGAUUCAGACCUAGAUACAUCCAAAAAUCAAGCAUUGCUAUCAUAACUCUUGUCUCUGCUUGUAUCUGUGAUGACUUCAUUUCCAAUUGAUACAUGAAACCUGUGUCCCAUAUAUGUUAAUCAUAAAGCAUAAUAUUAUGAUUCCUUGUGAAUCCACAAUCCCACCAUAGAAAUGGAACAUUACCAGUGAUUUCCAUCUACCUAUGUGCUUCUCUACCAUCGCAUCCCCUCCUUCCUCCAAGGUAUGUCAUUCUGCUAAUUUUUUCAUUUUUAUUUUUUUUAUUCCUUGAUUUUUUAAGAUAUAGAUUUUUAAACUGCAUAUAUAUGUAUGCCUAAAUAAGGCAUGAUGUAGUGCAGUUUUAGAGGUCUAUAAAUGUAUAAUAUUCUAUGUAGUCUUCUGAAACUCAUGUUUUAUUCACUGUAAUAUAAUUUAACAAAAUUCUAGUGUUGUGAGUUGAAGAGCUUAAUUAAUUUUAUGUCUGUAAAGCAUACUGUUGUAUUGAUAUGCUUCAAUGUAUUUACUCUCUUGUCAAUGGCCAUUGGUAUUAUUUCUAGUUUUUUACUAUUAUGUGCAAUAAUGCAAUUAAUAUUCUUAUACACCUCAUGGAGAACAAAUUUAAGGGUGUUUCUAGGAUAAACAUCUACAAGUGAGAUUGCUGAUUUUUAGAGUAUGUGAAUGUUUAAGAUAUAAUACCAAGUUGUUUUCUAAAAUCAUUAUAUCAAUUACAUUGAUACCCAGAAUAUACAGGAGCUCCUAUUGAUCCUAACUGACUCUGACAUGAUGUGUUAGACAUUUCAGCCAAUCUAGAAGGUGUAAAAUGGUAGAUCAUCAUGACUUUAAUUUGCAUUUCUCUGAUUUCAAAAGACUUUAAGAUUCUUUCUAUUUAAUUAUUGACUGGCUAUAUGGGUUUCCUGUUCUGUGAAAUAUUUUGUUUGUCUUUUACCCCCCUUUUUUAAUUGUUACUUGUAUUUUUUUCUUAUUGUUUUUAGAGUCAUUAUUUUUGAUUUUUAGAUAUAAUACUUUGUUUCUAAGCAUUACAAAUAUUUACCCUCAUUUUGUUUUUCGAAUUUUUUAUACUGUUUCUAUAAAUAUAAUAUUUAAAUUUUAACAUGUUCAAAUACUUCCAUCUUUUAUUUUCUAAGAAAGAAAUUUUUAGUGUUCUUUAAAUAUUAUUUAUGGAUAUCUACUUACAAUGCCCCUCCAAGUUCAGAAAUUUAUCUCUUUAUGUUUUUAUUUUAAAUAUUUCAAAUUUUUCUUUUCAUACUUAAAUCAUUAAUCCAUCUAGAAUUGUGUGUGUGUGUGAGAGAGAGAGAGAGAUGGAGUCAGAGAAAAUGGAUUUAAUAUUACCUUUUUCUAUAGAUAAACAAUUUUUCAGGUAUAAUCCCCUUUUAGUGUAUUCUUAUAAUUUUAUGUUACAUCAGCAUCCAUUAUGAGCAUAAAUUGGACUUCCCCAUAUCAAAAUCAGGGCUUAGUCACCCUUGACAAGGCUUCUAGUUCUGUACAUCCUGCCUCCUGGUGACCACCUUCCUAUUAUGGGACAGCUGGAUACAACCUAUUGACUUGCCCAUAUCCGUCCCAGUGUGAUUCCACAGAACUAGUUCUUGCUUGUUCCAAACCUACCAAUUAGGCAAACCUGCUGAGGUACCACCCUGGGCCCCAAUAAGGCUUUGACCCACAGGUCCCUUGCUUUCUCUCUCUGCUGCUCCCCACUCACUGGUUAAAUGUGAGUGGGCUGGAUGGCUCCCUCCUUCCUGUUGGCCUUGGGAGGGUGCUGCCCUCUUCUCUCUGAAUCUGUGAAUAAUAAAAUGCUUCUGUUAUUUCAUGUGUUUUGUUGAGUUGCUUCCUCUGUGUCUCACCUAACACACUGGAACCUAACUCUCUUCCUGGUCAGGGCUCUCCUAGAGAGUGGCUGACUUGGUAGGAAUAAACUGAACACCGGUCAGACAAGAGCCACAAGGGCAUCUGCCAGGAUAAACAAAUUUCCUGUGAGAGGUACACUGAUCAUGAGUCAGACACUCAGAGAUUAGGCCAUCUACAAGGAUAAGAAGUAUCCCUUGAAAGUCACCUUGUGUACAUCCACAACCAUUUCCCCUGGAGCCCUGUCAGACCAGGGCUAGAGUUUAUAGCCACUCUCUAGAGACCUCAAGAUCAAAUUAGAGGAAAAAGGAACAUCUCUUUCCUCACUGUUCCUCACGGGAGCCUUUACCACACAUCAAAGUUCUAUGUUCAUGAGAUUUUUCUGGGCUUUCUCUUUUAAUGGUUAAUUUAUCUACUGCUUCACAAAAAUGCAUUAUGAGUAUUUAACAACAUUUUUUGAUAUUUGAGUGGGCCAGUCUCUCAUCUUGUACUCCUUCUUCAACAAUCUCUGUCCACUAUACUUCCAUAUACAUUUUAAAAGAAGUUGUCAAGUGUCUUGAAAAACUGUUGGCAUUUUGAUUUUAAUUGCAUUGACCCUAUGGUCCAAUUUUGAGAUCACUGAUAUUUCUACAAUAUUGAGUUUAUGUGUGAACAUGAUAUACCCUCUACUUAUUUAGAUUUUCUUUAAUAUCUUUCAAUCAUGUUUUAUAAUUUCCCACACCAAGGAAUAACACACAAAUGUAUAUAACACAUGAAGAUGUACUUCUUUGUAAUAAUAUAGAUCCUGUUGCUUUUUAAAAUGAUAAUUUAAAAAAUAUACAUAUUCUAAACUUUUCCAUGUUUGCUAAACACUUUUAUUAUUUGUAAUAAUUGCUCUAUUUUUAGAGGGUUUGCUGAGUAGACAAUCAUCUGCAAAAAUCUUCAUUCGUCCCCAUUGGGGUGGAGCUCCCGUUCAAGGGGAAGAGAAGUGAUAACAGUUUGUCUCCAUUAGGAGUGCUAUUUACUAUAGGUUUUUGUAUAGCUAUGACUUUUUUAGACUAAGGUAGUUCUAGUCUCUUCCUAUUUUCCUAAUGUUUUUUUUAAACAUAAAUGGACAUUAUUUUUCCAAAUGUUUUUCUGCAUCUCUUGAGAUGAUCAUACAGUUUUUCUCCUUUAGUCUAUUAACAAAUACUAUACAGAUUUAAAAUGACAUAUAUAGACUUUCUAAUAUUAAUAUACACUUUUAUUGCUGGGAUAAACCCAAUUUGACUAAGGUGUUUUAAGUUGUUUUAUAUGGCUGAAUUAUGUUUGCAUCUAUGUUUAUGAGUGAGAUUCAUUCUUUUCUAUCUUGGAAGAAUUUACAAGAGAUUGAAAUAAUCUGUUUCUUCAAAGUUGAUUAGAAUUUUCUCUUAAAAUCAUAUAGGCCUGGUGUUUUCUUUACAGGAGGAUUUUAAACACUUUUUAAAAAGAAUAUUAUAAGAUUAUAAUUUUUCUUGAUUCAGUUAAGUUAUCCUUUUCUAGUAAUUUUUCCAUUUCAUUUAAUUUUUCAGAUGUAUUAACCUAAAGAUUUAGGUUAUUGUAUUCUCUUAUUAUCUUCUUAAUCUUUAUUGGUGAUUAUAUUCCAUA